GAUACGUAGAGGCGUUGCCAAUGAUAGGAGGAUAAGAAUAUUUCCCUAAUAGGUCAGGAUGAAUCUAACUCCCUAAGAGAUGUAAUAUAUCACCUUUUAAAACAGUACUUACCCGCUGCUAGCUCAGCUUUUACAACACCAAUAUGUAUAAAUUUAAACAGAUUUAGUCGAGUUUACCUUGUAUUAAUUCGAACCGCACGCGAAAUAAGAACACACGAUAAACACGAAAAGUGUAUUAUAAUUUUGGAAUAAAAUUACAACACGAAACUUAAGUCUAAAACAUAUAAAACUCUACGCGUAUAACCAAUAUAUAUUCCACCAAAUAGUGGCGUAAGUAGGAUCGCUUUUACCCACCUACGUGUAACUAUCAAAUUGCCCGCGUUGGGUAGCGAAUUUAGGACUUAAGUUUAAACGCGAAUACUCUCCCUUAAACACGAACGUUAAGGCAGAGGACCUGGGACUCAAGCACAACUCUUACGUAGGAGUGAGUGGCCUUAUUACUUUUCCGCGGUCAGACCUACCAGACGAAGCGCGAAUCGACAAGUGAAGAUCAAUUCCAUCUCAACUUGGCUUCUAGCCUCGAGUCGAGAAGGAAUUGAGCUUUACGAACUUGUGAGCUUUUCACAUCUGCCCUUAAUGGAACGAUGUGAAAACACCUCUUGGGUGGUUCCCACGUACUUAACACCUUACCUAAGUGCAUCGAGUAUAUGCUUUCAUCUACGUAAAGUACUGUAGAAUCGAACUAUUGAUUGGAUUCUCCAGUACUUCCUUUAGAUGAAAGAUUUAUAAUCCCACUGAGAGAGAUACGAUGAAUAUCCCUGUCUAGCCAGUGAAGGCAUAUUGUCCCCUUACAUUUGCCCCUAACGUGGGUUUACUUCUAAAGUAUCCCCUGAGGAAAUGUAGAGGAAAGCACGGAAAUUUUGAAAAAAGGUGACAUUGUGCUUCACUGGAUGUGACCCUAUUGCCCCCCGUACUUUGCUUGAGUGAUGCGGGGAAUAGUAAUCCCAAAAUAAAUUUUGAAACUCUUUGGUUUUUAUUAUAAUUCCAAAAGUGAGGUGGAUUUUGAGUGUGCUGGUGAGUUGACUCUUAUUGAUAAAGAGUAACUACAAUUGACCAUCAAUAUUUGACCGAAGUCAAGAUAUCAAUAAAUCAAUCCAGAAGCUACCUUUGAUCUGGUCACUCCGCAGCAGGGUCAUGGCCGAAAUGGUAAGUAUUUAAGUACGAUUUAAUUUUUGAGGGGGAGGGUUAAUCUAAAAGGUACCCUUCCUCAAUUUUAUGAUUUCAGGAGAAGAUGAAAAAAGCUCAAGAAGUUCGUGGUUGUUUGGCUUUGUUGUCUUUGGAUAGUCUGACCAAGAAUUUUUGAAGAAAAAAUUGCUGGUGUAUUUUGGUCAACGACGAUGGCAAGAGAAUUACUUUGUUUAUCAAAAACUAAAGAUAAGUACAAAAACAUAUUUACAUUUUUAUUAAAUAAUGUAAAAGUUAAGAGCAUUUUUGUUUCUUAGGAUUAAUCAGUCUAAUUUAAACACAUGAUCGAUUUAAAAUAUCUGUACAUUUUUUAUUUCUAAAAAAAAUUUUAAAGUUAUGAAAUAAAUUAAAUAAAAAAUGUUGUUUUUGUUUAGGACCAGUUCAGAGAAAGAUGGGUGAAACUUAAAAUAGGAUUGAGCCAAAGUUGAACCAGUCUGUUGGGAUAUUUUUCGUAUUUACAAUAAGUAAGAAGGCAAAGAAGAUUUCCUUAACUAAUAAUGCACAGAUCCUUUUUCUUGGCUCAUGGACUUCUUUUCCAGGUUGUAUUUUCUUUUAGAAAAUAAUUUUAGAUAGAAAUUAAAAAUAAAAUUUGAGUAAACUUAUGCCAUUUUUGUUCCACAGGAAGACAAAGAUAGCUAGAUUUUUGAAAGGAAUGUUAUCCGUCUACAGUCUGAGUCAACAUGGCCUUCUGUGCCCUGAAUGUGAUAUCUUUGUUACAAAAUUAAAAAAAAUUAAAAAAAGAAUUUUAAAAAAAAAUAAAAUUAAAAUUUUUGUAAAUUUUUGGAGAAAAAAAAAAAAAAUUUUUUGAAUU